rnacentral:rRNA from 1 species
UACGGAGGAGGCAAGCGUUAUUCGGAAUUAUUGGGCGUAAAGCGUCCGUAGGUGGCUAGUCAAGUCUGCGGUCAAAGACUGGGGCUUAACCCUGGAAAGGCCGUGGAAACUGACGAGCUAGAGUGCAGUAGGGGUAGAGGGAAUUCCCGGUGUAGCGGUGAAAUGCGUAGAGCUCGGGAAGAACAUCGGUGGCGAAAGCGCUCUACUGGACUGCAACUGACACUCAGGGACGAAAGCUAGGGGAGCGAAUGGG